rnacentral:rRNA from 1 species
GACGAACGCUGGCGGCGUGCUUAACACAUGCAAGUCGAACGGUAAGGCCCUUCGGGGUACACGAGUGGCGAACGGGUGAGUAACACGUGGGUGAUCUGCCCUGCACUUCGGGAUAAGCCUGGGCAACUGGGUCUAAUACCGGAUAGGACUCCGGACUGCAUGGUCUGGGGUGGAAAGCUUUGGUGGGGUGGGAUGGGCCGGCGGCCUUGCAGAUUGUGGGUGGGGUGAUGGCCUACCAAGGCGACGACGGGUAGCCGGCCUGAGAGGGUGACCGGCCACACUGGGACUGAGUUACGGCCCAGACUCCUACGGUAGGCAGCAGUGGGGAAUAUUGCACAAUGGGCGCAAGCCUGAUGCAGCGACGCCGCGUGAGGGAUGACGGCCUUCGGGUUGUAAACCUCUUUCAGCAUCGACGAAGCGAAAGUGACGGUAGGUGCAGAAGAAGGACCGGCCAACUACGUGCCAGCCGCCGCGGUAA